rnacentral:lncRNA from 1 species
AGGAAACUUAGGACCGAGAAGCUACAUGUAUGCUCAGCUUGCAUUGAUUACAGCGGCAGCUUUCGUUGCCUCUGUAAUACAUGGCGACAACGAGAUGGUCUAUACAAGGGAUAUGUGCAAAACUCCUAACUUUACUAACUGGAAAGACUGCAAUGGCACCGACACUGGCUACUACUUCGACGA